GGAGGAAAAGAAACUAACAAGGAUUCCCCUAGUAACGGCGAGUGAAGCGGGAAGAGCUCAAGCUUAAAAUCUCCAUACUUGUAUGGCGAAUUGUAGUCUAUUGAGGCUGUUGUCAGCAUCGCGAUCGGGGACAAGUCCCUUGGAAAAGGGCAGCAUGGAGGGUGAUACUCCCGUCUCUGCUCCGAUUUGCGAUGUGUACGAUACGCUUUCUUUGAGUCGAGUUGUUUGGGAAUACAGCUCAAAGUAGGUGGUAAAUUCCAUCUAAAGCUAAAUAUUGGUGCGAGACCGAUAGCGAACAAGUACCGUGAGGGAAAGAUGAAAAGAACUUUGAAAAGAGAGUUAAAGAGUACCUGAAACUGCUGAAAGGGAACCGUAUCGUUUCCAGUGUUGUAUCCCAUGCAUAUUUCAUUCGCGGAGCAAUUUGCGGGUGCCCUGUGCAUGGGUGUGACGUCAGGGUCAGUUUGUAUGCUGCGGGAGAUGGUCAGUGAGGAGGUGCGUCACUUCGGUGAAAGUUAUAUCUCGCUGUCUAGUAGCCGCGGUUGAGACUGAGGUGCCUACAACAUGCUUUGGGGUUCCGUGUUGUCUCGUGUUAGUGACUGUUUGGAUAGCUUGCUAUGUCUGUGGUUUACUAGUGCGAUCGAUGAUGCGGACAACCUCU
rnacentral:rRNA from 1 species